rnacentral:rRNA from 1 species
AACGAACGCUGGCGGCAGGCCUAACACAUGCAAGUCGAGCGCCCCGCAAGGGGAGCGGCGGACGGGUUAGUAACGCGUGGGAAUGUACCCUUUUCUACGGAAUAGCCUCGGGAAACUGAGAUUAAUACCGUAUACGCCCGGUAACGGGGAAAGAUUUAUCGGAGAAGGAUCAGCCCGCGUAAGAUUAGAUAGUUGGUGGGGUAAUGGCCUACCAAGUCUACGAUCUUUAGCUGGUUUGAGAGGAUGAUCAGCAACACUGGGACUGAGACACGGCCCAGACUCCUACGGGAGGCAGCAGUGGGGAAUCUUAGACAAUGGGCGCAAGCCUGAUCUAGCCAUGCGCGUGAGUGAAGAAGGCCUUAGGGUCGUAAAGCGUACUUUCAGGGGGGAAGAUAAUGACGGUACCCACAGAAGAAACCCCGGCUAACUCCGUGCCAGCAGCCGCGGUAAAGUGACUACU